UUUUUAUGAGAGUUUGAUCCUGGCUCAGGACGAACGCUGGCGGCGUGCCUAAUACAUGCAAG
rnacentral:rRNA from 2 species